rnacentral:lncRNA from 1 species
GGAGAUUUGACUUUGUGCUCACAGUGUGGACUUGCCUGCUGGAGCUGGGCCCUGCAGCACCCUGGUAUGCUGAGCUGGCAGCAUCCGGACCRAAACUGCCCAGACUGCAAAUCUCUCAGCUCAGCCCCUGCCACCAGCCAGGAUGACUGUUUUAAGGCCUGAAGGCACUGCUAGAGCCAUCCCUGAGUCUCUGGCCUCCACAUUUCUGCCAAGAAAGCUGCCAUGUYAGAGCCAGGAGCUGCUGCCUCUCACUGGAGCAGUGACCAGCUGAAGAGUGGAGCAGCUCCAUGCACUGGAGCACUGCUCUGAAGGAGAGGAGCUCCGAGGCCUUGCCAAGUGUCAAACACGGAGAAGUCAUCUCAUGGUGACCAGGCYACACAGCAGUUUCGAUGUAUGGGCUUUCCCACUAAGUCCUUCCUACAGGCAAUCCAAGUGCAGUUGUUCACACACGAAGAGUUGUGCAGAGGACCUUCAGCCUGCCCUUYGUUUAAAGUCUGUCUCACUUGAAGCUCCUGGCUGCAGCCCAGCAAAGAAAGUGUUACCUGCCGGAGGCUGCUGUGCACCGCCCGAGAACAACAGGCUCAUGUACUUCAGGUGUGAAGCCAAGGUGUCAUGUGGGAGCUGCGUUCCUGUGGGGAAGGAGAAAUUGCUGUCUAACUGAUCCUUUGUGGACUUCCUACCAAAACCAUCCAGUGCAACAUAUGAUCUUUUCUCAGUUGCCCCUGCAGCAGCCCUGACGGGCAGGUGUUGCGUUAUCUGCUAGACAGGAGGAGGAGGAGGCCRUAGCCAUCCCUCGCAAGACUGUAUGGGCUGCUGAGCACCAAGGGAACAAGCCCCGGAGCCAGGUAAAUUGGCUGUGUCCCAGUAGUGCUCCUUAUGCC